GUCCUCGUAGUUCAACUGGAUAGAACCGGAGUUUCCUAAACUUCUAAUGGCAGUUCGAGUCUGUCCGAGGGCA
rnacentral:tRNA from 1 species